rnacentral:rRNA from 1 species
AGAGUUUGAUCCUGGCUCAGAGCGAACGCUAGCGGCGGGCUUAACACAUGCAAGUCGAGCGGAGGGGCAACCCUUAGCGGCGAACGGGUGAGUAACGCGUAGGUAACGUGCCUUCAGGUGGGGAACAACCGUGGGAAACCAUGGCUAAUACCGCAUAAUGUCGAAAGAUGAAAGCCUUCGGGCGCCUGGAGAGCGGCCUGCGUCCCAUUACCUAGUUGGUAGGGUAACGGCCUACCAAGGGAACGAUGGGUAGCUGGUCUAAGAGAUGAUCAGCCACACUGGAACUGAGACACGGUCCAGACUCCUACGGGAGGCAGCAGUGGGGAAUAUUGCGCAAUGGGGGAAACCCUGACGCAGCCACGCCGCGUGAGUGAAGAAGGCCUUCGGGUCGUAAAGCUCUGUCGGGAGAGACGAAGGGGUAAAACUCUGACGGUAUCUCGCAAGAAAGCACCGGCUAACUCUGUGCCAGCAGCCGCGGUAAUACAGAGGGUGCAAGCGUUGCUCGGAUUUACUGGGCGUAAAGCGUACGCAGACGGACCGUCAAGUCGGGAGUGAAAGCCCUGGGCUCAACCCAGGAACGGCUUUCGAUACUAGCGGUCUUGAGUUUGGGAGAGGGAAGCGGAAUUCCUGGUGUAGAGGUGAAAUCCGUAGAUAUCAGGAGGAACACCGGCGGCGAAGGCGGCUUCCUGGCCCAAUACUGACGUUCAGGUACGAAAGCGUGGGUAGCAAACAGGAUUAGAUACCCUGGUAGUCCACGCUGUAAACGAUGAGUGCUGGAUGUCGGAGGUAUUCACCCCUUCGGUAUCGAAGCUAACGCGUUAAGCACUCCGCCUGGGGAGUACGGCCGCAAGGUUGAAACUCAAAGGAAUUGACGGGGGCCCGCACAAGCGGUGGAGUAUGUGGUUUAAUUCGACGACGCGCAGAACCUUACCCAGCCUUGACAUCCUUGGAACCGAGUGGAAACACUUGUGUGCUCUCGCAAGAGAGAGCCAGGAGACAGGUGCUGCAUGGCUGUCGUCAGCUCGUGUCGUGAGAUGUUCGGUUAAGUCCGGCAACGAGCGCAACCCCUGUCUUCAGUUGCCAUCAUUUAGUUGGGCACUCUGGAGAGACUGCCGGCGUCAAGCCGGAGGAAGGUGGGGAUGACGUCAAGUCCUCAUGGCCUUUAUGGUUAGGGCUACACACGUACUACAAUGAUGACUACAAAGGGCAGCCAACCCGCGAGGGGGAGCAAAUCCCAAAAAAGUCAUCUCAGUUCGGAUUGCAGUCUGCAACUCGACUGCAUGAAGUCGGAAUCGCUAGUAAUCGCGGAUCAGCAUGCCGCGGUGAAUACGUUCCCGGGCCUC